GAUGAAGAACGUAGCGAAAUGCGAUAAGUAAUGUGAAUUGCAGAAUUCGGUGAAUCAUCGAAUCUUUGAACGCACCUUGCGCCCUUUGGCUAUUCCGAAGGGCAUGCCUGUUUGAGUAUCGUGAACACCUCAACUCUCAUGGUUUGCCAUGAUGAGCUUGGACUUUGGGGGUUUUGCUGGCCUUUGGUCGGCUCCUCUCAAACGGAUCAGCUUUCCAGUGUUUGGUGGCGUCACGGGUGUGAUAACUAUCUACGCCUGUGGUUUUCUGCCAGAUAACCUUCAGCGAUGGAGGUUCGCUGGGGCUCAUAAAUGUCUCUCUUCAGUGGAGACAGCUUUUUGGACGUUUGAUCUCAAAUCAGGUAGGACUACCCGCUGAACUUAAGCAUAUCAAUAAGCGGAGG
rnacentral:misc_RNA from 1 species